ACUCCUACGGGAGGCAGCAGUGGGGAAUAUUGCACAAUGGGCGCAAGCCUGAUGCAGCCAUGCCGCGUGUGUGAAGAAGGCCUUCGGGUUGUAAAGCACUUUCAGCAGUGAGGAAGGCGGAGUCGUUAAUAGCGGCCUCGUUUGACGUUAGCUGCAGAAGAAGCACCGGCUAACUCCGUGCCAGCAGCCGCGGUAAUACGGAGGGUGCGAGCGUUAAUCGGAAUUACUGGGCGUAAAGCGCAUGCAGGUGGUUUGUUAAGUCAGAUGUGAAAGCCCGGGGCUCAACCUCGGAAUAGCAUUUGAAACUGGCAGACUAGAGUACUGUAGAGGGGGGUAGAAUUUCAGGUGUAGCGGUGAAAUGCGUAGAGAUCUGAAGGAAUACCGGUGGCGAAGGCGGCCCCCUGGACAGAUACUGACACUCAGAUGCGAAAGCGUGGGGAGCAAACAGGAUUAGAUACCCUGGUAGGAUA
rnacentral:rRNA from 1 species